CCUACGGGUGGCAGCAGUGAGGAAUAUUGGUCAAUGGUCGGGAGACUGAACCAGCCAAGCCGCGUGAGGGAGGAAGGUACAGAGUAUCGUAAACCUCUUUUGUCAGGGAACAAAGGCGGGGACGUGUCCCCGGAUGAGUGUACUUGAAGAAAAAGCAUCGGCUAACUCCGUGCCAGCAGCCGCGGUAAUACGGAGGAUGCGAGCGUUAACCGGAAUUACUGGGCGUAAAGCGCGCGUAGACGGGAUGUUAAGUCAAGGGUGAAAUCCUCGCGCUCAACGUGGGAACUGCCUUUGAUACUGGCAAACUGGAGUGUGUGAGAGGAUAGUGGAAUUCGAGGUGUAGGAGUGAAAUCCGUAGAUAUCUGGAGGAACAUCAGUGGCGAAGGCGACUAUCUGGCACAUAACUGACGCUGAGGAGCGAAAGCGUGGGUAGCAAACAGGAUUAGAUACCCGGGUAGUC
rnacentral:rRNA from 1 species